rnacentral:rRNA from 1 species
AUUGAACGCUGGCGGCAUGCCUUACACAUGCAAGUCGAACGGCAGCACGGGGGGUAACCCCUGGUGGCGAGUGGCGAACGGGUGAGUAAUAUAUCGGAACGUGCCCUGUAGCGGGGGAUAACGCGUCGAAAGAUGUGCUAAUACCGCAUACGACCUACGGGUGAAAGCGGAGGACCGCAAGGCUUCGCACUAUAGGAGCGGCCGAUAUCGGAUUAGCUAGUUGGCGGGGUAACGGCCCACCAAGGCGACGAUCCGUAGCUGGUCUGAGAGGAUGAUCAGCCACACUGGAACUGAGACACGGUCCCAGACUCCUACGGGAGGCGGCAGUGGGGAAUUUUGGGACAAUGGGCGCAAGCCUGAUCCAGCCAUGCCGCGUGAGUGAAGAAGGCCUCGGGUUGUAAAGCUCUUUCGGCGGGACGAAACGGUCCGUGCCAAUACCACGGACUAAUGACGGUACCCGCAGAAGAAGCACCGGCUAACUACGUGCCAGCAGCCGCGGUAAUACGUAGGGUGCAGGCGUUAAUCGGAAUUACUGGGCGUAAAGCGUGCGCAGGCGGUCUGUUAAGACAGGUGUGAAAUCCCCGGGCUUAACCUGGGAACUGCGCUUGUAACUGGCAGACUUGAGUGUGGCAGAGGGGGGUUGGAAUUCCAAGUGUAGCAGUGAAAUGCGUAGAUAUUUGGAGGAACACCGAUGGCGAAGGCAGCCCCCGUGGGUUAACACUGACGCUCAUGCACGAAAGCGU